GGGCUCGCAGGCGGUUUCUUAAGUCUGAUGUGAAAGCCCCCGGCUCAACCGGGGAGGGUCAUUGGAAACUGGGAAACUUGAGUGCAGAAGAGGAGAGUGGAAUUCCACGUGUAGCGGUGAAAUGCGUAGAGAUGUGGAGGAACACCAGUGGCGAAGGCGACUCUCUGGUCUGUAACUGACGCUGAGGAGCGAAAGCGUGGGGAGCGAACAGGAUUAGAUACCCUGGUAGUCCACGCCGUAAACGAUGAGUGCUAAGUGUUAGGGGGUUUCCGCCCCUUAGUGCUGCAGCUAACGCAUUAAGCACUCCGCCUGGGGAGUACGGUCGCAAGACUGAAACUCAAAGGAAUUGACGGGGGCCCGCACAAGCGGUGGAGCAUGUGGUUUAAUUCGAAGCAACGCGAAGAACCUUACCAGGUCUUGACAUCCUCUGACAACCCUAGAGAUAGGGCUUUCCCUUCGGGGACAGAGUGACAGGUGGUGCAUGGUUGUCGUCAGCUCGUGUCGUGAGAUGUUGGGUUAAGUCCCCGCACGAGCGCAACCCUUGAUCUUAGUUGCCAGCAUUCAGUUGGGCACUC
rnacentral:rRNA from 1 species